AUGCAAGAGAGCAGAGCGCAGAGGCAUAGCUUCUGGGGGCCUUCCCAUUCUGACCGAACACCCGUACCGUGGACCCCACAGUCCCCCACCCUGGACCCCACAGUCCCCCACCCUGGACCCCACAGUCCCCUCAGCCAGGACCCCACAGUCCCCUGCCCUGGACCCCACAGUCCCCCACCCUGGACCCCACAGUCCCCUCAGCCAGGACCCCACAGUCCCCUGCCCUGGACCCCACAGUCCCCUACCCUGGACCCCACAGUCCCCCCAUCCUGGACCCCACAGUCCCCCCAUCCUGGACCCCACAGUCCCCUCAGCUGGGACCCCACAGUCCCCUGCCCUGGACCCCACAGUCCCCCACCCUGGACCCCACAGUCCCCCACCCUGGACCCCACAGUCCCCCGCCCUGGACCCCACAGUCCCCUCAGCCAGGACCCCACAGUCCCCUGCCCUGGACCCCACAGUCCCCCAUCCUGGACCCCACAGUCCCCUGCCCUGGACCCCACAGUCCCCACCCUGGACCCCACAGUCCCCUCAGCCAGGACCCCACAGUCCCCUGCCCUGGACCCCACAGUCCCCUGCCUGGACCCCACAGUCCCCCAUCCUGGACCCCACAGUCCCCUCAGCUGGGACCCCACAGUCCCUGCCCUGGACCCCACAGUCCCCUACCCUGGACCCCACAGUCCCCCCAUCCUGGACCCCACAGUCCCCCCAUCCUGGACCCCACAGUCCCCUCAGCUGGGACCCCACAGUCCCCUGCCCUGGACCCCACAGUCCCCCACCCUGGACCCCACAGUCCCCCACCCUGGACCCCACAGUCCCCCACCCUGGACCCCACAGUCCCCUGCCCUGGACCCCACAGUCCCCCGCCCUGGACCCCACAGUCCCCCACCCUGGACCCCACAGUCCCCCGCCCUGGACCCCACAGUCCCCUCAGCUGGGACCCCACAGUCCCCCCACCCUGGACCCCACAGUCCCCUCAGCUGGGACCCCACAGUCCCCUGCCCUGGACCCCACAGUCCCUGGCCCAGGGUCCCCAUGGGACAGGUUCCACAAGGCUCCCUCGCCACGCUGUGUCAAGCAAGUUUAGCUUCAAAGCUGAUGUAG
rnacentral:lncRNA from 1 species